CUGAGCCUCCUGAGGAAGAGACCGAAGGAGCACCUUGCCAGGCCUGUGCGAGUCUUCUUGCAGGGAUGUUGACGCAGAACCCAGAGAAAACACGGAACUCCUCGCAUUCUCUGAGGAGGCCAAGUACUGUGGGUCUGAAGUGUGUGCCUGGCACGAAAUGACCUAUGGGCUGCUCUUACAAACGCAGGAAGCCUCCGAACCUCCUGUGUGUGCACUCGCGAUCCUGGUCAGCUCUGAGACCCCGGGCACAAAUACUCCACCUUGGCGUCUGCUGGAACAAUCACGGUCCCUCUCCUAAAAGCCAUUCUCCACCUGCUACACGAUCCCAUGAGGACUUCCUGUGGCACACAGCUGUGCCCCAGCUGCUGGGGAACUAGCUUCAGGUACAGCCCAAUUCUGGCGACCCAGUGAUCUACGGAAGUCCUGUCUUACUCCAGGUGAAGGGAAGGAAAUGUAUACUUUUGGCAAGUUAAAAACUUCAGAUGUGAUGAAUUACACAUUUGGCUGCAUUUGGAUGGUGGCUUAGAACGCUCAGUGCUCAGACCUGAAGGCUACUUCCUUGGCCCUUUCUUUAUAGACCAGAGACUGCCACAGGAGGACGUGUGAGGAGGCUGUAGGCAAGCCCACCUUUGCCAUCACUGAAAAUAAAUUUGGUCACAAUUAAGAGGUUAGGAAACGGUGCCAUUCCCAUCCUAGAGCGCUACGUAGGUGCUUUGGGCACGUGUAAUAUUAGUGUCCUUCCUUUAAGUCACAAAACUAGUUUUCUUAGUUUUAAAAUCCUUUUGUAUGAAUGGCAUUUGUAUAUUAAAAAACUUUUUUAAAGAACAGUUGAAAGGGGCAAGAGGAAACCAGGGCAGUUUUAGAGCUGUGACGGUGGCUGCUCGGUAGCAGUUCGAAGUGUAGCGUGUCCAGGCGACAUGACCACGUGUGCUGUUCCCCUCUCCCAGGCUCCCGCCAUGACGCCGUCUUUACCUUGUGGCUCGUGCUGACACUGACCCGAGUGUGGCUGGCAUCGGGGCAUAGGUCCGUGUCUUCAGCACCUCCCGAGGAGCCGACUUUUAUUUCCUUUCCACUCCUCCCCACUAGCCCUCUUCUUCCCAACUUUACUUAGUAACUUAGAUCUUCCAGCACGUACGUAGGUAGCUCCCCCAGCCGGUUUGGAUUACAGGCCUGUGCUGGAACAUCAUCUCAGCUGGCCACCUUCCUGGCAGGCUGUAGAUCUGACAUUUUGAGACAAGCCCAGAGUCAGGAGCGGGGACUUUGGCUCUUAGGAAGAACACACAUGAGGGCAAGGCUGCUGGCAGACUUUUCCAUUGUCCUUAUGUUGUCUUGUAUUUUUUUUAUUGACUGUGGUGAUUAUUUUUUUAAAUCCAUUGUUAAUGUAUUGAAAUGAGCUGUAGCACGUAUCACGUGCUUAGUUUGUUUUGUUUUUCUCCAUCCCCCCUUGACUUCCUAGAGUUUGAUCAUAUUCCAGGCUAAAUGCUUUUACUCAAGCCACAGAAAGGUUUUCUUUAAGCGGCGUGUGCAUGUCAUGCACGUACGUGAGUAAUCUGGGAGAAGGCAAAUAUCCGAUUUCAUUCUUAGCCCCACGCUGCCAUUCUGAGGCUCCACGGGGCCAGAGCACACAUUAGACCCCUCUCCUUAGUCCUCAGACGCAGAGGUAGGAAGGGAACCUGCAGGCCGCUCAUGGGACUGCUUACCAAGGGGGCUGCAAGAGAGGGCACAAGUCUAGCUCUGGACCCCGUUUCUUACUGUGUGACUUGGCUAGAGUUGGGAGUUUCCCCAAAAUAUAUACGUGUCCCCAUUUUACCAGAAGAAAACCUCAGCACAGCUACGCUGUAUCGUUUUUGUGUGGCAUAAAUGUUCCCUUUAGGACCCCUUCAAGUAAGUCUUCACAACGUGCAUCACUCUUAGAAGGAGCAUCAGCCACCUCUCGAGGGGGUAGGGAAAACAGAAAAAUGUACCCCCGGGGAUAGGAGCGAAGAUGAAGAUGAAGCACCCGUGAUGGGAGUUGUCAGCGGGGAAAUGACUUGCUGUCCAGGCAACUUUUCAGAAACACAGCUAUCACAUAAAAGGAACUCGCCUCUCAUGUAAACUGGAUCUAGAAAUUCUCAGUGAUUCUGUAGUGGAUUUUCUUUUUUUAAUGCAGAAAUAAGGUUAUACUCUAGUAUUCUGGUGUUUUUAUAUUUAUGUAAUAAUUUCUUAAAACCAUCCAGAUAACUAUUUAAUUUUUUAAAGAGAGUUGGAAAGGUCUCCCCUCCCAAGGACAGUGGCUAGAAGAGCUGGGGCACAGCCAGUUCUGAAUGUCGGUGGAGGGUGUAGUGACUUUGGCUCAGCAUCCAGAAACACCAAACCAGGCUGGCUAAACAGGUGGCAGCGUGUAAAAACAGGCAGCCUCUGAGUCCAAUCUAGGCCCUUCUACAGGGGUUCUCUGAACCAAGCCCCCCUCGCUUCCUAGGGGUGAAAACUUUACACAGAGAGCGGGAGCCGUCUUUCUCCAAGAAGCCUUCACUCACCUUCACGGCUGCUGCUGCAACUCGGCUGUUCUGGACUCUCGGUGUGUGCUGGGGGUGGGAAUAGAACUUGGAGGAUGUUGAUUACCUUCACUAUUCAGCCAGCCUGACCUUUUAAUAUCUUUGUAAAAAGCAUGUAUGUAUUUAUAGUGUUUUAGAUUUUUCUAACUUUUAUAUUUUAAAGGCAGAGCACCUGUUUGUUUAAGCAUUGUACCCCUGUCGUUAAAGAUUUGUGUCCUCUCUCUCCUGUAAGUGCCCUUCUAAUAAACUUUUCGUGGAAAAGCUCCUGUGCCGGAAGCUCAGUCUGA